AAAUAAGAAGCAAUAAAUUGCAUUUAAUUUCGACUUAAAAGAUAGAGUAAAACUAUACUCCUUAUUUA
rnacentral:tRNA from 1 species